GACUUUGGGGCAUCCAUUCAAUUAUUGAAAGGUAGUUGCAAAAGCAUGAGUAGGGAACAUGAGGUGACUUCAAACUUUUCCCAUCCAUAAAUACUCUUAUCCUUUUAACAUUAGGGUCAUACUUACUAUUUAUUCAUCUCUCUCUCUCUCUUUCAAACCUUUUCUCAUCUAUAAAUACUCUUAUGUUUUUAACAUUAGGGCCAUACUUAUUAUUUAUUUCAUCUCUCUCUCUCUCUCUCUCUUUUGCUGUAAAACUUUUCUUUCAAGGAGGAAAUGGUGGAUCUAAUUAUUCUUUGGUGGCUUUACAAUGGUUUUCCUAUCCCACUUACUCCCAUUAUGACCCAACCCAAAGGAAGUGCAUGGUUAUUCAUUCUUAUGCCAAUGCAUCUCGACUAUUAAAUCUGAAUGGCAUAGGCGGUAUCAGAAAAAAAUAAAGGAAGGUGGACUUAACGAACAGGGGCCCAAAAGAAAAUAGAGUAUCUCAUUACCAGACUCUACAUGCCUGGGUUCACCUUAAUUGACUACAGUUUCUUAUGGAAAUAUGUACUAUUGUAUUCAAUCUUGCAUUGACUGCAGUUUCUUAUGGAAAUAUGUACUAUUGUAUUCAAUCUUGCAUUGACUGCAGUUUUUUAUGGAAAUAUGUACUAUUGUAUUCAAUCUUGCAUUACUACAGUUUCUCAAGGAAAUAUGGCUUCUUGACAUUU